GAUGAACGCUGGCGGUAUGCCUAACACAUGCAAGUCGUACGAGAGUUUUUAACUCUAGUGGCGGACGGGUGAGUAACACGUGAGAAUUUGCCUUUAGGAGGGGGAUAACAAUUGGAAACGAAUGCUAAUACCCCAUAUGCUUUUGAGUGAAAUGGAUUUUAUCCGCCUAGAGAGAAGCUCGCGGCUGAUUAGCUUGUUGGUAAGGUAAGAGCUUACCAAGGCGACGAUCAGUAUCUGGUUUGAGAGGACGAUCAGACACACUGGAACUGAGACACGGUCCAGACUCCUACGGGAGGCAGCAGUGGGGAAUUUUCCGCAAUGGGCGAAAGCCUGACGGAGCAAUACCGCGUGAGGGAAGAAUGCCUAUGGGUUGUAAACCUCUUUUUUCAGGGUAGGAAUAAAAUGACGUGUACCUGAAGAAUAAGCAUCGGCUAACUCCGUU
rnacentral:rRNA from 1 species